UGAUCCCAAAAUCUCGAAACCCUCGGUGACAAAGGAAGCAACUAAGUCGCGCUAGAAGCUCGCCGGAAGGCAUCGGCGGGAUCAGUGGCGUUUGAAGGAGAAGGAGAGUUGUGGAGGUUAAGCUUCAUGGAAAAAGAUGUUAUUGAAGCAGAUAAAUGUGAGUAAAUUGCUGGAACUGGUAAUCUCCUGAAUGGUGAACUGGUAAUCUCAGUGGAGCAUGCAGUAGAAAUCACUGCAGUCCUGAUUGACAGGACGGGAUUAUUCUUCUGAUAGGAAAAGGCUGUGUAAUCAUCUGCAAUCCGGUAUGUGGAGGCCGUGAGAGAAUAGUCCUGAUCAUGAUCAUGGCUCCAGCCCUUACAACAAAUCAGAACGAGAAAUUAUUUCGUGCGGAGUCCACACGAUAAAGAAUCGUCUGGAUGUGAGUAUACACAGUGUCUGUACACACAUUGUAUAAAAAAAAUAAAAUUGUAUACAAAUUAUACUCAGUGUACAGUCACAUCCGAAUGGUUCUUUACUGUCCGGACUCUGCACGGAAUAAUUUCUCAAUCAGAACAUAGUCCUUAUGACAUAUAUCAUCGGUUAGCUCUGCAUUUCACCAACAAGACGGGAAUGAUAUAGAGUUUGGUUACUUGUUUAUGAAGAAGUUAUUGUUUCUGUGAAUCCUACUGUCUUCUAAAGAUCGCUAUAGAUGUGCAAUUUAUAGAUCUCUGAACUUGUUGCCUUAUGACAAUCCAAAUGAUAGUGAUGUUGAUCUUCUCUAUUUGAGUUUCCAAACUAAUAUCUGACGAUUCCAACAAAUAUCAGAUGCAUAAUUUACUUGGUCUGAUAGCUUCGAAUGGAUCAUUUCUCCUAUUUUUCUAGUUUGAAGUGGGCUCAACUUCAGUUCUCCAUUGUAUUUGGUGUUCAGUUGCUGUUGAGGUAAGCUGCAUUUCAUGUUUUUAUUACAGUGCUUGUUGCAGGUCUCCCUUUCUCUCAUGCUUUUAUCUCUCUAAUUGUGCUAUGCUUUCAUUGUUUUCUCUUAGAAUUCUUCACUGAGACACACACGUCCACAUUGUUUAGUGAGACAAAAUUUUACAUCUUUUUACGGUAUUUUGUUUUUCUGUGGCUCUCACUCUGCAGUGUGAGGCCUGUUGUUCUCAAAUAAUGAGGGGGAAGAGUAAAAGCCAUUGUAAGUAAUUCAUGGUUCAAUUAUAUGUUCUGAGUGGUGGGAGUUGAUGUCUUGGUGUUGUACUUAUUCACUAUUAAGGUGGGGUUCUGAUGUUAUAUUGAUCAAUAAAUGGUGAUUUGAUGUCCUAUAUACAUAGCCAAAUUAUUAAGUACUAAAAUAUUUAUCA